UAUAUAGUACAAGUAUAAUGUUAAUGGUUCUGUUUCAUCAUUAGAGGUUCAAGAUACCUAUCUUUCAUAUUUUCAUAUUAUUUUUUAUCACUGAUUAACCAACAAGAAAAGAUUAUAAUCUUUUUAAGUUGUAUUUCUAUUUGAACCUUUUCCCAAGACAGUGUUUUGGUUGGUUAGUGCCUUGCUGUUGGCGACGCCCACAGAAACCCACUUGUGUUGUGAUUAGUUCCUUGCUUUUAGACACGCCCACAGAAACCUGCGUGCCUGCACAUAUAAUUCUGUUACCCUCAGGAUCAAAUCACUCUUGUUUUUUUAACAAGCGGGUAAAUCUGCUGGUAAUAGUAGAACACAUUGGAUCGAGCUUUCAGGACACCUCUGACAAAUCUACAGAUUUUAUUUCCAAGCAGCUCCUUUUGGUUUAAGGCACAAGUUGGUGAUGCCUCCUGACUCUCCAGACAAGAAGUUUGUCCUGCUUGUUGGAUGCUCCCAUUUACGAGCCAUUGCAGAUGGUUACGUGAAGAUGCCAGAGGGGCUUUCCUUUGGUGUCCUUUCAACGCCGGGGGCCUGUGCAGCGGAGUUGCGGAAGGAGGUGAUCAAUGCUGU